rnacentral:rRNA from 1 species
AUUGAACGCUGGCGGCAUGUUUUACACAUGCAAGUCGAACGGUAACAGCACUUCGGUGGCUGACGAGUGGCGAACGGGUGAGUAAUACAUCGGAACGUGCCUAGUAGUGGGGGAUAACUACUCGAAAGAGUAGCUAAUACCGCAUGAGAUCUAAGGAUGAAAGCAGGGGACCUUCGGGCCUUGCGCUACUAGAGCGGCUGAUGGCAGAUUAGGUAGUUGGUGGGAUAAAAGCUUACCAAGCCGACGAUCUGUAGCUGGUCUGAGAGGACGACCAGCCACACUGGGACUGAGACACGGCCCAGACUCCUACGGGAGGCAGCAGUGGGGAAUUUUGGACAAUGGGCGCAAGCCUGAUCCAGCAAUGCCGCGUGCAGGAUGAAGGCCUUCGGGUUGUAAACUGCUUUUGUACGGAACGAAAAGCCCUCUUCUAAUACAGGAGGGUCAUGACGGUACCGAAAGAAUAAGCACCGGCUAACUACGUG